rnacentral:lncRNA from 1 species
CGAGCGCGGGGGGCCCGGGGACCUGCGGGGAUGCGUCUGAUGCUUUGCUUCCUGCUGUUGAGCAGCUGCCCUGGGGGCUGGGACGCCAUUAGUCCCCACGGUCAGGAGGAAAGCUGGGGGAAGGUCUGGGAAGUGGGGGCUGCGGGAGCGGUUGGUGCACGAAGCAGGGCGAACCGUGUCGGGUGGGUAAAGUCAGCAAGCACGGGGCGGGGACCGGGGGCGGGGGGGCGGUUAAAAAUCGGAAGGUGGCGGUAGGACGGAAGAGAAGUGGGCCCCAGGGGAGACUAGGGGUGCAGCAGGAGGAAUGGAGGUGACAGAUCCCGGCCACGGAAGCCACGGGACAAAAAGCACGCGGAGGGCUGGGGUGGAGGUACCCAGCGCUGAGGGAUAGACGGAAGGAGCCUGGCCGCAGGCAUCCAGUCUUGACCUCGGGAUGAGGCCUGACUGGAGCCAGGUGCCUGGGCUUACCCUCCUCCCUGGGGAGGUAGGUGGGGGGGGGGGUCUGCGGGAGGACGCCUAGCCUUCCCCACAACCGUGUGCCUCCCUCUCCAUUUGUCCUCCGCGUCCUUGAACUUGGAGACCAAUGCAGAGGGCUUCCCGCGGGCCUGGGGCUCUGCAGAGUGCUGGAAGGGCGCAGAGGGGAGUCAGGCCCUGUGCAGAUGCCUGAACCCUUUCACCUCCUGGACUUCCCCCUGCUCCCACCCCAUCUACCUGGACUGAGGAGGGGUCUGUAUGGUAGAAAAGUUACUCCUCACAUUGUGUAGCUAGGUAUACUGUGGCUUUCAGAAUAAGAACCUGGGAUCCCAAGGCUUAACAGUCUGAACCCAGCCCCCAGGCUUUAUACUUCCAAGGAUUCUGGAAGUCUUUCCAGCUCUCCACCCAGGAAGCAAACUUCUUCCCCCAUCCCUACGCUGUCCGCCUGUCUGUCCAUUCAAGUUUUGUAGCCCUCUGAGGCUCUGCUCACCUGUCCAUCCACAGGCUGUCUCUUUGCCCGAAGACUCUGCUCUUACCUGGAAGUCUGUGCCAAGGGUGAGUGAGACCCAGAGGGUAAAGAGGAAAAGGUGUGAUGGAGGGAGAGCUGAUAACUGGGAAGGGGGAGGGAUCUGAGCUUGAUGGUGGAGAGGGUACUGCUCUUCUGCAACCAGGCCCUCUUGAAGGCUUUUGGCCAAGCUCCCUGCUAAUGCCAUUCUGUACCCUUAGAGGGACAGCCCCAGGUGGGCAUGCAGCCACCCAGGUCCCGGCAAGGAGUCGUCAAGCUGGUCUUCCGAUACUGGCAAGAUGUGCUUCAGUGGCUCAUGCCUCAAGGUGAGACCAGAAGAGCUGAAAGAGAGAGGCUGGGCUGUGGGAUCCCCACCUUGACAUUAAAAGCUCCUUCCACAGAUUUCUCUGCCUGAACUUUUCAUCCUCACCUCUGGAGCCUCACCUGCUCAGACCCUGAGCAAGAUGGGUGGUGGUCUCCCAGCCUUUGUGGGGAAGCUGUUGUCACUUGUCUUCUCUUUAUUUUUAAAAAAUAUUUGUUAUUUUUGAGAGAGAGUGCGCACAAGUGGGGAGGUGGGGGUGGGGAGAGACAGAGGAUCCGAAGUGGGCUCUGUGCUGACAGAUGUCAGUGCAUUGGGUCCUGCCCCACCAAUGUUGGGCUCGAACUCACAAACCAAACCGUAAGAUCAUGACCUGAGCCAAAGUCAGACACUCAACUGACUGAGCCACCCAGGCACCCCUUACUUACCUUCUUUAGAGGAGCACAGUAGAGGCAAUUAGAAGUCCCUGGAAGAGUUCAACAUCAGUCUCCUUGGGACUAGCCCUAUGCCCCUCUGCCCUGUGCUAUCUGAGUGCUCAGGGCCAGGAAUCAUGGGGUCCCCAGUCAGAACCUCUCCCUCCCGUACACAUAUUCCAGACUCUGAAUUGGGGGAGUAGACAGCUCAGAGUGUAUGGCAAAUAGAAGCAUGACAGAUGGGGGUGCAGAAUGGGAGGGGAUUCCUUGGGAAAACGUUUCUGAUCCUCCUUGAAGGCCGGGUUUCAUGAUUGCAGGGUUCAGAAGGGAGAUCUGCUUGGAGUUCGAAUUACUGCUAUUAAUGAUCAUAGUGUAUGAUGUGCGAGCAAUGCCUUAGAGUUUUAGAAACACUGCGUAUGUCCUCCACUUCCAUUUGGUCCUCAUAACAGCACGAUUGUUAAAUUCACAUUUGGCUACUUAUCGCUCACCAAGCACCGUGCUAAGAAACUUACAUGGAUUACCUCCUGUAAUUCUCUCAACAAUGGUUCAUCAUUUCAUGGAUGAGAAAACUGAAGCUCGGCCAAUUUAAUUAAGUUCCCAGUUAAUUAAGUUAAGUUAAGGGUCACAGAACCAGUAAGAGCAAGGAUUCCAGUGCCAAGGUGGGCAGAAGGCAAAGCCCUGUACCCCAGACCGUCUCUGGAUCCCUCCAGUGCCCCGUGGCCCUUACGUACUUUACCGAAAGCAGAAAUUCCAAUUGCUCUCUGGUUUCUGGGGUAGGCCAAUCCAACUGUCCCAAGGUCAACUUACACUCCUCCCUUUCUCUCUGCAGGACUGUUCUGGAAGGAUGAUGUCACUCAAGAUGUAAAGACCCAGAAGAUGGAGCACAUGCCCAGGCUUCACACCUCAGAGACCUACAUGAGGGAUGGGUAGACAGCCUUUCCCACCAAAACCACCACGCUGAGGUAUGUGAGGCCUGUGGUCUGUCCACACUGCACGUGUCUGGUAGACAGAGCAACUGGGAAGGGAAGGAGUAUCAGGGAUGCCAGUAGGAGUUGUCAGAAGUCCAGUGAGUAGAAUGAAGAGAGCGCCUGUCUGAUUUCAGCCAGAAGCAAUCCCAUGAUACCUUGGUGAUGUCCACAAAGGGAGGGAAUUGGGACGCAUGGCUACUAUGUGGUAUCCCUGGCUUGGUGUUCGCCUUCUAGGGACAGGUGCAAAGGGAAACUCUAAUUGUUGUUCCCUAAGGUGAGAGUCCCUCGGGGAUUUUGAAAUUCUUCAUUUGGAUAUCAUCUCUUUUCCUCUGGGCCUUUUCACCAUUUUCUCUUCACCCUUGACUCCUGUUUUCCUUCCCCUCAGAGCCCAGUGACCAAGGUGAACAAGGAACAAUGCUUGAACUCUAGAAUGGUUUCGGAGGUCCUGAACCAAGCAAGAGAUGACCAACCACAGCAAGGCCCCACGGCAGGUGAAGGCCUGCCCUUGUCCAGGAACACUGAGCCCACCAAGGGUCUGUUUACAGAGGGAGACAGGGUGAAGGAGGGGAUAGACAUUGGUUGAUAAGGAAUGAUUUCACUGAGACUGAUGGAGAACCUUCUGGAAGAGAGGGCCUGGAGGAUGGAAAAGAACAGAGCCAGCCCAAUCUUCACCCUGCCACUGCCCAGCCGUGACCUUGGACACAUUACCUAGGCUCUUCAAGUCCCUUCUUCCACAUCUGUAAAAUGAGAAUGGUAAUAAAGACGACCCUUCUGGUGUUGCUGUGU